rnacentral:rRNA from 1 species
CCUACGGGAGGCAGCAGUGGGGAAUAUUGGGCAAUGGAGGCAACUCUGACCCAGCAACGCCGCGUGAAUGAUGAAGGUCUUCGGAUUGUAAAGUUCUGUGAUGGGGGAUGAACACAAUGACGGUACCCCAAUAGCAAGCCACGGCUAACUACGUGCCAGCAGCCGCGGUAAUACGUAGGUGGCGAGCGUUAAUCGGAAUUACUGGGCGUAAAGGGUGCGCAGGCGGUUGAGUAAGACAGAUGUGAAAUCCCCGAGCUUAACUCGGGAAUGGCAUAUGGGACUGCCCGACUAGAGUGUGGCAGAGG